UGGAGCAGUCCUUUUGAUGGAGUCUUUAAUUUUGGGCGAAGUUUCUGGAAACCCAUCCUUUCACCAUCCCAAUUACUCUAAAGCUCGAGUCUCUGAAGCAUUUGAGAAAAAGCACAAAUUCAACAGGUUCCUGAAGGAGAGUCCUGAGUCCAGUAGGGGGAAAAAUGCUGUGAUUGAUUAGUGAUGUCUACCACGAGUAUGCGAAAGGGAAGUGUUAAAUACCUAGAAGUGGAAAUAUUGGGUUGAAUGAUUUAUGAGGCACUGUGAGCUUAAACCUCUUUGGGAUUGAGGCUAAUACUCCAAACCACAUUGGAUUUAUAUAAACACCAGCCACUCUGAUAAAAGCAUUCUACUUGACUGACUCCAUCAACUCACUGGCAUUUUCUAUGGUCAACUUCAGUAAAAAUAAGAUAUUUAUCAAGUGUCUUCUCUGUGAUGUGGCUGAAGAUAGGAAUUUACAGCAUGGCAACAAAGAAUGAUACAACAUCUAACUGUACUAUGUGUGAAGUGCUACAAAAACAUAUGGCAAGCUCUGGAAUCAAAAAGUGAGGAGGCCAGGUGUGGUGGCUCAUGCUUGUAAUCCCACGACUUUGGGAGCCCAAGGUGGGAGGAUUGCUUGAGCUCAGGAGUUCGAGUCCAGCCUAGGCAACAUAGUGAGACCUCAUCUCAACGAAAAAUAAAAAAAUUAUCUGGGUGUGGUGGUGCACACUUGUGGUCCCAGCUACUAGGGAGGUUGAGCCAGGGAGGUCGGGGCCUCAGUGAGUCAUGAACGUGCCACUGCACUCCAGCCUGGGUGACGGAGCGAGACUAUUUCAGGCAAAAGGAACAGCAUAAGCAAAGGCACCAAAGUUUGUAACUGCAAGAUUUGUUGGCCUGUGUGUGACCAAAUAUAGGUAAAGAUCGUGGGGUGGGUGAGUGGGAGAGGGGAUAAGAUGCUUUUCCUACUUCAGCUAAGUUGCAAAGAUUCAGGAACUGUGGCCACAGCAAGUGGCCCGUGGGGUUGUGCCAUUGGUGACACACUGUGCUGUGGUCUUGUCUGAUAUUUGCCGCCAGUCCUCCAUGGAUCCCGACCCUUUUCUUAACCUGAUUCUCCAUCUUUGGGUUGAGGCAGUGAGCUGCCUGACAACUCUCCCAGAAAUUAUUUUUUCUGGAUAAGUUAACCAGAAUGAGUUCCUUUUGCUUGUAACCAAGAGAUGUCUCAAACAAUAAAGAAUGUAAUCUCUUUGGCAUGUCAUCUGAAUUUCCUAAAUUUUAAUCAAUAAAUAAUGAAGUACUUCUGU